GUUGACGCUGGCGGCAGGCCUAACACAUGCAAGUCGAACGGUAACANGNUNUGCUUGCNCAUCGAUGACGAGUGGCGGACGGGUGAGUAAUGCUUGGGAACUUGCCUUUGCGAGGGGGAUAACAGUUGGAAACGACUGCUAAUACCGCAUAAUGUCUUCGGACCAAACGGGGCUUCGGCUCCGGCGCAAAGAGAGGCCCAAGUGAGAUUAGCUAGUUGGUAAGGUAAAGGCUUACCAAGGCUGACNAUCUCUAGCUGUUCUGAGAGGAAGAUCAGCCACACUUGGGACUGAGACACGGCCCAGACUCCUACGGGAGGCAGCAGUGGGGAAUAUUGCACAAUGGGGGAAACCCUGAUGCAGCCAUGCCGCGUGUGUGAAGAAGGCCUUCGGGUUGUAAAGCACUUUCAGUUGUGAGGAAAAGUUGGUAGUUAAUACCUGCCAGCCGUGACGUUAACAACAGAAGAAGCACCGGCUAACUCCGUGCCAGCAGCCGCGGUAAUACGGAGGGUGCGAGCGUUAAUCGGAAUUACUGGGCGUAAAGCGCACGCAGGCGGUUUGUUAAGCUAGAUGUGAAAGCCCCGGGCUCAACCUGGGAUGGUCAUUUAGAACUGGCAGACUAGAGUCUUGGAGAGGGGAGUGGAAUUCCAGGUGUAGCGGUGAAAUGCGUAGAUAUCUGGAGGAACAUCAGGGCGAAGCGACUCCCUGGCCAAAGACUGACGCUCAUGUGCGAAAGUGUGGACGA
rnacentral:rRNA from 1 species